ACGUUAGUUAUCUGCCAAUGGGGUUUUGAUGAUGAAGCAAACCAUCUGUUAAUGCAUCGGAAUUUACCUGCUGUUAGAUGGGUUGGUGGUGUUGAAUUGGAGUUGAUUGCUAUAGCUACAGGUGGGAGAAUAGUUCCAAGAUUCCAGGAGUUGACUUCACAAAAAUUAGGGAAGGCUGGAUUAGUUAGAGAGAAAUCAUUUGGAACUACCAAAGAUCGAAUGUUAUAUAUUGAGCAUUGUGCUAACUCCAGAGCUGUAACCAUUUUCAUUCAUG